rnacentral:rRNA from 1 species
AUGCAAGUCGAACGGUGAAAGCGGAGCUUGCUCUGCUGGAUCAGUGGCGAACGGGUGAGUAACACGUGAGCAAUCUGCCCCUGACUCUGGGAUAAGCGCUGGAAACGGCGUCUAAUACUGGAUACGAGCUGCGAAGGCAUCUUCAGCAGCUGGAAAGAACUUCGGUCAGGGAUGAGCUCGCGGCCUAUCAGCUAGUUGGUGAGGUAAUGGCUCACCAAGGCGUCGACGGGUAGCCGGCCUGAGAGGGUGACCGGCCACACUGGGACUGAGACACGGCCCAGACUCCUACGGGAGGCAGCAGUGGGGAAUAUUGCACAAUGGGCGAAAGCCUGAUGCAGCAACGCCGCGUGAGGGACGACGGCCUUCGGGUUGUAAACCUCUUUUAGCAGGGAAGAAGCGAAAGUGACGGUACCUGCAGAA